AUUGAACGCUGGCGGCAUGCUUUACACAUGCAAGUCGAACGGUAGAGGGGGCAACCCCUUGAGAGUGGCGAACGGGUGAGUAAUGCAUCGGAACGUGCCCAGUCGUGGGGGGUAACGCAGCGAAAGCUGUGCUAAUACCGCAUACGAUCUCUGGAUGAAAGCGGGGGCCGAAAGGCCUCGCGCGAUUGGAGCGGCCGAUGUCAGAUUAGGUAGUUGGUGGGGUAAAGGCUCACCAAGCCAACGAUCUGUAGCUGGUCUGAGAGGACGACCAGCCACACGGGGACUGAGACACGGCCCAGACUCCUACGGGAGGCAGCAGUGGGGAAUUUUGGACGAUGGGCGCAAGCCUGAUCCAGGAAUGCCGCGUGCAGGAAGAAGGCCUUCGGGUUGUAAACUGCUUUUGUACGGAACGAAAAGGUCUGGGUUAAUACCCUGGGCACAUGACGGUACCGUAAGAAUAAGCACCGGCUAACUACGUGCCAGCCGCCGCCGUAA
rnacentral:rRNA from 1 species